UCUUACAAUGCACAUGUAUCACUUGUACUGUGAGAUUCAGAUCAACUCAAAAGCUCUAUUCGGACAGUAAAUGUUUCUCCUGACACCUUGAGAUUGAAAUAACAUGAUAAUAGAUGAUGAACUCAUGAAGCAGUGGAAGUUCAUUCAUUAUUUCUGUGAUGUGAAGCUCAAGUAUGAUGUGUUGAUGUGAUGAUGAUUUGUUUAUAUGUUGCAAUAUAUUUGACCUGAACUAACAGACAUGAUCACAGAUCCAGCAGAAACUGAAUCAGUAGGACUGAUGGAUCAGUAUUCAGAGUUUCACAGAUUGAUCUUUGUCUGUUAUCUGUCCACGCAUCUGUCCUGCAGUGAUUGUGAUUAUUGUUGAGUUUGCAGUGUUUGCUGCUCCUGCUGUGAUUCUUCUUCAGAUCAUCUGUGUAAGAAGAGCUGGUGAGUUUUUCAGCUUCACACAAUUCAAAUUCUGGCCAGAGGAGAA